CAGUUGGUCAGAGAAGAGCUGAGGUAACUAGCCUAGAAAGCGUACCUACAUUGUGAGCACCUCCUGAGACUGCACCAAGGCAGAGAAUCAGAGCCGCCUGUAGCCAGUGAGGAGAAGGAUGGAUAGACACACAGCUGAGCACCCUAGCUAAACCUGACAACCAGGCAGGGAGAAACACAGCUGAGGCCCAGUCUCUGGAGGGAGACAUAAUCUGAAAACUCAUCCCUGCUGAUUGCUGUAAGAACUAGAGAUGAUUCUGUGGAAUCCAAGCCACUCCGAACACCAUGGAUCCGAGUUCACUCAAGCCAAAGCUUGGUGUUCCCAUCAGACUCAGAUCCCACUUCGAGGCCGAACGUCAUCCUGCCCGUGCCGGAUUCUCACGAGAGUUGGAUUUUAUGAAUCCAAAUCCCAAUCCACAGUGGUUUGGCAUAUCCAAAUCUAAAGCCAGAGGACGAAUCAGAGUCAAAUCCAAAUCCAGCAAAAAUGGUCCGGCACACAUCUCUAGGAAGAACAUUUAAAGAGAGACAGUGGAGGGGCAUUUAGUGGUGUGAUUACUGACUGUCUUCAGGGCACACGUUCUGAAGAUAAUUAGUUUCUGCAAAACAUUACAAUAUUGUCUGGCUGUGAACCGGGGGUGUGAUCUCCAAGCUGUAUUAUACCAAGCCAAGUUCAUUGGCAAGUGACAUUGAGGAGAUUCUGAAUUUCUGACUUGGAGACAUUAAGAAACAAAUGAGAGGAUGGGGAAAUGAAAAGGGAAGAUUAAUGGAAUGCUUUGUCACAUGAAGUAUGAAUAUUGUUAUUUAUGGUUAACUAAACAACGUGCUAAUA